UGCCAGCAGCCGCGGUAAGACAGAGGGUGCAAACGUUGUUCGGAAUUACUGGGCGUAAAGCGCGUGUAGGCGGUUCGUUAAGUCUGAUGUGAAAGCCCGGGGCUCAACCCCGGAAGUGCAUUGGAAACUGGCGAACUUGAGUACGGGAGAGGAAAGUGGAAUUCCGAGUGUAGGGGUGAAAUCCGUAGAUAUUCGGAGGAACACCAGUGGCGAAGGCGGCUUUCUGGACUGGUACUGACGCUGAGGUGCGAAAGUGUGGGGGGCAAACAGGAUUAGAUA
rnacentral:rRNA from 1 species